UCUACAGUCAUGAGACGAGUACACACUUGCUGAUCUAUUCGUAAACUGUUGCUUUGCCGUCCAAGAUCUGUGUUACAUAUUUAUUAUGUAAUAUAAGAAGUAAAAUAUAUAUAUGUGAAGCUUUACUUCCAGUGAUGGAAGCCAGAGAUGACAGACAUUCGCACUGAGCAGGAUCCAAGGUAUCCAAGGAGGACAUUGCUAUGUCAGAAGUAACAGGUUCUGCCUGGGCGAAUGUUGUGCAAUUAACCAUUUUGGGUACGGGAAGCGAUGCGUCUACACUCUCCCUCACGGUCGUCCUCAUCACUCGUCUCACACUCUGUAAUAAAAGAACUCAUAAAUAAUAACAUAUU